AAUUAAUGAGAAAACAAGGCAGAAAGAUUGCAGAAAUCUUGAUUUAAGAUUAUAUACAUCUUUGCUUCAGAUUCUUGUUGUUGUUGUUUAUUAUAUAUUGAAUAUUUCAUGGAUGUGUUUAACAGGAAUUAGUAUUUGGGAAAACCACAGCUGCUUUCUUGAAACUGGGUAUUUAUGUUUAAGCUUCAAAAGUUGUAGAUUUUUGCCUAAUGCAUGACCUAUGAAGUUGAGUGACUUUUCCAAGAUGGGGACCACACACCGCAUGUUUGUACAGAUACAUUCUCACAAGCUUCAUUUUUUAUGAGUUGCUAGUAAUUUGUUCUCUAAGAAAUCAAGUGGCAGUGCCAGACUUGUAAUAAUGACUAUUGAGGGAAUGGUCUUCGAAUAUUUUAUUGGAGUUUCAUUCCCAUCUGUUUCUCUUACUAAGAUUAACUUACCUUCAAGCACUAUAUCAUCUCUUGAUAUAGCCUUCAAAGCCGAUCAUCAUAGAUCUGUUAGUGACCACAUACCUGAAAAUCGUGUUUCAAAUGAUACUACACCACCAAAG